rnacentral:rRNA from 1 species
UACAGAGGGUGCGAGCGUUAAUCGGAAUUACUGGGCGUAAAGGGCGCGUAGGCGGUGGAUCAAGUCAGGCGUGAAAGCCCCGGGCUCAACCUGGGAACCGCGCUUGAGACUGGUGCGCUAGAGUUCGGGAGAGGAUGGUGGAAUUCCCAGUGUAGAGGUGAAAUUCGUAGAUAUUGGGAAGAACACCGAUGGCGAAGGCAGCCAUCUGGACCGACACUGACGCUGAGGCGCGAAAGCGUGGGGAGCAAACAGG